rnacentral:tRNA from 1 species
AACGAAAUAGUUUAAUUGAAAAAUAUUGGGUUUGCAUCCCAAAGAUGGAUAUAUGUUCUUUUGUUA